rnacentral:tRNA from 1 species
GCCCCGUUAGCUCAGAUGGUCAGAGCGUCCGACUCAUAAUCGGCUGGUCGCCGGUUCAAGCCCGGCACGGGGCACCA